AUUGAACGCUGGCGGCAUGCCUUACACAUGCAAGUCGAACGGUAACAGGUCUUCGGAUGCUGACGAGUGGCGAACGGGUGAGUAAUACAUCGGAACGUGCCCGAGAGUGGGGGAUAACGAGGCGAAAGCUUUGCUAAUACCGCAUACGAUCUCAGGAUGAAAGCAGGGGACCGCAAGGCCUUGCGCUCACGGAGCGGCCGAUGGCAGAUUAGGUAGUUGGUGGGAUAAAAGCUUACCAAGCCGACGAUCUGUAGCUGGUCUGAGAGGAGGACCAGCCACAAUGGGACGGAGACACGGCCCAGACUCCUACGGGAGGCAGCAGUGGGGAAUUUUGGACAAUGGGCGCAAGCCUGAUCCAGCCAUGCCGCGUGCAGGAUGAAGGCCUUCGGGUUGUAAACUGCUUUUGUACGGAACGAAAAGACUCUGGUUAAUACCUGGGGUCCAUGACGGUACCGUAAGAAUAAGCACCGGCUAACUACGUGCCAGCAGCCGCCGUAACAC
rnacentral:rRNA from 1 species